rnacentral:rRNA from 1 species
AGAGUUUGAUCAUGGCUCAGGACGAACGCUGGCGGCGUGCUUAACACAUGCAAGUCGAACGGAAAGGCCCUUCGGGGUACUCGAGUGGCGAACGGGUGAGUAACACGUGGGUGAUCUGCCCUGCACUUUGGGAUAAGCCUGGGAAACUGGGUCUAAUACCGAAUAUGACCAUGCGCCUCCUGGUGUGUGGUGGAAAGCUUUUGCGGUGUGGGAUGGGCCCGCGGCCUAUCAGCUUGUUGGUGGGGUAAUGGCCUACCAAGGCGACGACGGGUAGCCGGCCUGAGAGGGUGACCGGCCACACUGGGACUGAGAUACGGCCCAGACUCCUACGGGAGGCAGCAGUGGGGAAUAUUGCACAAUGGGCGCAAGCCUGAUGCAGCGACGCCGCGUGAGGGAUGACGGCCUUCGGGUUGUAAACCUCUUUCAGCACAGACGAAGCGCAAGUGACGGUAUGUGCAGAAGAAGGACCGGCCAACUACGUGCCAGCAGCCGCGGUAAUAUGUAGGGUCCGAGCGUUGUCCGGAAUUACUGGGCGUAAAGAGCUCGUAGGUGGUUUGUCGCGUUGUUCGUGAAAACUCACAGCUUAACUGUGGGCGUGCGGGCGAUACGGGCAGACUUGAGUACUGCAGGGGAGACUGGAAUUCCUGGUGUAGCGGUGGAAUGCGCAGAUAUCAGGAGGAACACCGGUGGCGAAGGCGGGUCUCUGGGCAGUAACUGACGCUGAGGAGCGAAAGCGUGGGGAGCGAACAGGAUUAGAUACCCUGGUAGUCCAA